UGAGGAAUAUUGGGCAAUGCCUGCAAGGGUGACCCAGCAACGCCGCGUGGAGGAUGAAUGUCGUAAGAUUGUAAACUCCUGUUAGAGGGGAAGAAUAGUACCGGUUGGACCGGUAUAUGACUGUACCCUCAGAGAAAGCCCCGGCUAACUACGUGCCAGCAGCCGCGGUAAUACGUAGGGGGCAAGCGUUGUCCGGAUUUACUGGGUGUAAAGGGCGCGCAGGCGGGAUAAAAAGUCAGUGGUGAAAUCCUACAGCUUAACUGUAGAACUGCCUUUGAUACUUUUAUUCUUGAGUUCGGGAGAGAGAGACGGAAUUCCAGGUGUAGUGGUGAAAUACGUAGAUAUCUGGAAGAACACCAGUUGCGAAGGCGGUCUCUUGGUCCGACACUGACGCUGAGGCGCGAAAGCGUGGGGAGCAAACA
rnacentral:rRNA from 1 species